GGCCGGGUAGCUCAGUUGGUAGAGCAGGGGACUGAAAAUCCCCGUGUCGGGGGUUCGAUUCCCUCCCCGGCCACCA
rnacentral:tRNA from 8 species